rnacentral:rRNA from 1 species
UACGUAGGGUGCAAGCGUUAAUCGGAAUUACUGGGCGUAAAGCGUGCGCAGGCGGUGAUGUGAGACAGAUGUGAAAUCCCCGGGCUCAACCUGGGAACUGCAUUUGUGACUGCAUCGCUGGAGUACGGCAGAGGGGGAUGGAAUUCCGCGUGUAGCAGUGAAAUGCGUAGAUAUGCGGAGGAACACCGAUGGCGAAGGCAAUCCCCUGGGCCUGUACUGACGCUCAUGCACGAAAGCGUGGGGAGCAAACAGG